rnacentral:lncRNA from 1 species
CAGUCGUUCACAAUAUUCCCUAAGCCUGUGUGAUGGAUGCUCAGGGCUUCCACCUUGUGGUACACAGGGUCCUGCCCUUCUUGUGCUCACCUGAAGAUAACUGAAACUCGAGCAUGGCUGGAAUCACAAGGCACCACUGCCUUUGAGUUCAUAGCUGGACCGUGGUGAGGGAGUUGCAAG